UGAAUGUGCCUUCUGUCCCUCUAGCUGCAGUGCUCGCGUGUACUGCGUGGAUUGCACAGAUCAGGAAAAUCAAGGACAAGUCCCUUUGGAAUCUAAAGUCAUGCAGGCAGAGGACAGCACAGACGAAGUAUCAGCAGCAACAUCUGCCUCUUUCAGUCUCCCCAACACAGAUGAAGUAGCAGGGGCAACUCUGCUAUACUCGGUCUCUCCAAAAGCUGAUGGAGCAGCAGUGGCAACUUCAGCCCUGAUCAAUCACUUCAACAUGGGUGGAGUAGCAGGGGCAACUUCUGCCCUGCUUGAUCUCUCUCCACAGAUGAACUAGAAGUGGAAGUUUAUGCCUCAUUCAAUGACACCUACAUGGAUGGAGCAGCAGCGGCAUCUUCUGCACAAACCAAUCUCUCCAAUAGAGAUGGAGGAGUAGCAGCAACUUCUGCCCUGCUUGAUCUCUCUCACACAGAUGAACUAGAAGUGGAAGUUUAUGCCUCAUUCGAUGACACCUACAUGGAUGGAGCAGCAGCGGCAUCUUCUGCACAAACCAAUCUCUCCAACACAGAUGGAGGAGUAGCAGCAACUUCUGCCCUGCUUGAUCUCUCCAACACAGAUGGAACAGCAACAACAAUUACUGUCCUACUCCAUCUUUCCAACACGGAGUAAUAGGGGCAACUUUUGCCACACGCGAUCUCUCCAACACAGAUGGAGUAGCAAGGACAACUUCUGCCCUGCUCAGUCACUCCAACACAGAUGGAGUAGCAGCAGCAGCAACUUCUACCCUGCUCAAUCUCUCCAACACGGAUGGAGAAGCAGUGGCAACUUCUGCACCGAUCAACCUCUCAAACAGAGAUGGAGUAGCAGGAGCAAAUCCUGCCCUGCUCAAUCUCUCCUACGCACAUGGACUAGAAGCAGUACUGUGUGCCCCAUUCAAUGACUCUUACAUAGGUGGAGUAGCAGCAGCAGUUUCUGCCCUGUUUCAGUCUCUGCAACACAGAUGGAGAAGCAGUGGCAAUUUCUGCCCCAUUGGUCUGACCAAAACCUUUGAAAGUCACUCAAGCUCAGCAAAUGAUGCGCAGGGAUUUGAGACAACUUGAGCAACGGUCUUCCUGGGUAGAAAACCCCUUCUGUGCCACACUUCUCUUUGUAGAACUGCGUAAUCUUUGCUUCUCAAUAAAGUUCCUCCAUCUCACCACAA